rnacentral:rRNA from 1 species
CAGAGACUGCAAGCGUUAUUCGGAUUCACUGGGCGUAAAGGGUGCGCAGGCGGUUGGGUGUGUCAGAUGUGAAAUCCCGAGGCUCAACCUCGGAACUGCGUCUGAAACUACUCGACUAGAGUACUGGAGAGGGUAACGGAAUUCACGGUGUAGCAGUGAAAUGCGUAGAUAUCGUGAGGAACACCAGAGGCGAAGGCGGUUACCUGGACAGUUACUGACGCUCAGGCACGAAAGCAUGGGGAGCAAAAGGGAUUAGAUACCCCUGUAGUCCAUGCCCUAAACGGUGCACACUAGGUCUUAGCGGAUUCGACCCCACUAGGGCCCAAGCUAACGCGUUAAGUGUGCUGCCUGAGGACUACGGUCGCAAGACUA